GACCCGCACAAAAUAUUUCUUUCGAAAAAAAAAAUUGCGCUCAGAAGUCUGAACCUCUAUUUCACUCUCUCCUUCCUCCCUUCUUCUCUACUUUUCGUUUUUAGGUCACUUCUUCAAUUUUACUCACAUUACUCAGAAAAUUCACCGAAAUACCACCGAGGACCACCUGUCUGUCGCGUCUCUCUCCACCGAGGACCCACAAUUCCGGUGGGUGGCUACACGUCGUCUGCCACUCUCCUCUGUGCGCCGUAUUAGGAUUUCGUGCUUCCCCUUUUUGUUCUUCAGUUCACAGGAGGCUUCGGUGUGGAAACUAUGAGAGCAUUCGUUCACUUGAGAGACAAGGCAAGAACAUGUUAUGUAUUCAGAACCGGCAACAGAAUCGCCAACAAUCUGUACAGCUGCUAAACCAAAUAGAAGUAACAGAACCACCACUGCAUGGCAACCGCUAUCAGUCCGGGGCAGACCUGAGUGAGACUGCAGUAAUCAACUUCGCCAAAUGAAGUUGACCUGGUUUGACCAGGAACCAACCUAGAGUUCUAAUUGAAACCCCAAUCCAACAGAACCAGCAAUGUCCAAUGUGUGAACUGAGGCAACAUUGUAACAAGCGUAACAGAAACAAGCAGCCUGUAAACCCACCACCAUGCCUGCAUCCUCGAACAAAAACCUAAGACUAGCCAUGCGAAAAAUGGCUCAUCCACGGGGUUAAAAUGCUGUUAAAUAUGUAGAGUGUGACACGUACAUCAUUCAAUGAUGAGGAGAAGAAGUAGGCAAAGGUCUUGAUCUUGCAAUUUGAACAAUGCAGCCUAUAAGCUGAAGUUGAAAGAAUAUAAACAAGCAGGGAAACUUUGCACCAAAAUAAAGACAUUUCCUACACCAUAAUUAACUAUAAAUCUUAUAUGCUCUUCACCUUUGAUUAAUUUAUUGUGGAAAUUGUAGGUGUUGGAAAUGGAUGUCAUGAAUGUCAAAGCGCUCUAUAGAAGGGCACAAGCGUAUAUGAACUCAACAAAUCUUGACUUAGUAGAGUUUAACAUUAAGAAGACACUGGAAAUUGACCCUGACAACAGGUAUUCAACAAUCCGAGGGAGCAACCUUUUACCAUUGAGUAGAUAAAUGAAGUUCGAAAAAAGUUGGAAAAGUUCAUUACCAUUUAUUGUCUUUGAUAUUUUCUUGUAGUGAAUCUUAGAUUAUGGAUGCUAGUUUUUCAUAGGAAUGUAAUGUAAUCAAUUUUUAUAUUUAUCAUUAUAUACUAUUCAAUUUAUUUACCUAUAUAA